UUAAGAGGGUUGCGAGUGAUGGACUGGUGACGUGGGUAUUCUCACGUGCGAACGACUUCCCACACGAGUACUAGACCAGAGGAAGAGACAGUUGACCAUUUCCUCAUAUUUUCCCCUUGCUCCUCCCAUCGGAAUUUUGAUAUUUCCAAUUCUAUCCCAUCUUCCGAUUCCUCCAUACCCAAUUGUGGUGGUUCUAGGCUGAGGGGUCUCUGAUUUCAUGCUCCUAUCCUCCUGGUUGUUGCUUGAAAUCUCUUUUCUGGACCCCGCUGCCAGAUUUCAUUUUUCUUUGCCUUUGCAGACUUGGAACCAUCUGGGUAUGCUUAUGAAUUUGAUUUCUUAAAUCCCAGAUCUCAUAAAGGACCCAAAAUAUUGAUCUGGGUUUUUCUCUGAAUCUUUGAUUAAGUCAUGGUAUCUUGACUUUUUUUGGGAAGAUUUGGUGGUGUGGUGGUUUGUGGCCUGUGAUCAAUUCUUCUUUUUGUCAUCUACACUGAGAAACCCGGAUGGUGGACUUAAUAUCUCGAUGCGAUCUGUAAGUGGGUAUGGAUUAUUUUAUCUCGUCUUUUGCAAGUUCAAAGGCUUUGGUUGAAUCUGGUUGAAGGUAGUUUCUCUCAAUCUUUUUGGUUAUGGAGAAUCUUCCUGUUGAAGUGGUCGGAAACAUACUGUCCCGACUUGGAGCUGCACGAGAUGUGGUGAUCGCAUCUGCAACUUGCCGGAAGUGGCGAGAGGCUUGGCAGAAUCACCUACACACUCUUUCAUUUAAUUCCAAUGAUUGGCCUGUUUACCAUGAUCUCACAACUAGUCGAUUGGAAAUUCUUAUAACUCAAACAAUAUUCCAAACAUCGGGAUUAGAGUAUUUGUCAAUUUGUAUGGAUGAUGUUGAUGAGUUCUCAGCUGCCCCGGUGAUUGCCUGGCUCAUGUAUACUAGGGAAACCUUGCGACAGCUAUACUAUAAUGUGAGGACCACCCCAAGCAUUAACAUACUUGAAAAAUGCAGUAGGCAAAAGCUUGAAGUCUUGGAUUUGGCUCAAAAUUCUAUUACGGGUGUUGAACCCAGUUAUCAGAAAUUUCCCUGCUUGAAAUCCCUUUCACUGAGAUAUGUUAGUAUUUCUGCAUUGGACCUAAAUCUUCUUCUCACUGCCUGCCCAAAAAUUGAGGUCUUGGCCCUUAUCAACCUGGAUAUUGCGCUGUCAGAUGCAACAGCCACAAUGGAGCUGGCCGGUCCCUCAUUGAAGGAUAUCUAUGUCGAAGCAAUCAGUAUGGAUAAGUUUACGUUGGAGGCUGAUAACCUUGAGAAUUUGCACUUGAAAGAUUGUACUCUCGAUGUUUUUGAGCUUAUUGGAAAGGGAGCCUUGAGGAUUCUCAAGAUUGACGAUGUUAGUGUGAUCCAUCUCGACAUUGGUGAGAGUACUGAAAAUCUUGAGGUUGUGGAUGUUAGCAACUUCACAAUCAUGUGGCCAAAGUUUUACCAUAUGAUCUCAAGAUCAUCCAAAUUGAAGAGGCUUCGGCUUUGGGGUGUUGUGUUUGAUGAUGAGGAUGAAGUUGUGGAUUUGGAGGCAAUUUCUGUUUGCUUCCCACGGUUAACCCAUGUAUCCUUAAGUUAUGAUCUGAGAGAUGGAGAUCUAAGAGAUGGUUAUGGCUUGCAGGUGUCAACUCAUUUGGAGAAUGUGGUUGUCUUGGAACUUGGAUGGACAGUAAUGAGCAAUCUCUUUUCACCUUGGGUAGCUGGACUCGUAGACAGAUGCCCCAAUCUUAAGAAAUUGAUCAUUUUUGGGAUUAUUUCAGAGGUCAAAACUCAUGAAGAAUGUUUGAUUUUAGCGAAUUUCACUUCAUCCAUUGUUCGGCUCAUGAGGAAAUAUUUGCAUGUAGAGGUUCAUUUUGAAUAUGAAUAGUUCUGCAAAAUGCUUUUGAGGAUAUACAGGUUUUUGUCAAUCAUGACUUGCACAAGCAGGCAAAGUCUUCUCUUGGACCUGCUUCCAUUUUAGUGUGUGGAAAGGGCAAAAGGCAUUUCACUGGAGGGCAGGGAAUUGGAUGCCCCAGUAGUCCUAGCUGUAAACAAUGGAUUCUAUCACCAGGCACAUUGCCCUGUGCAAUGCUGUAGCUAACAAGUUAAGUAUCCCAUCUGGGAGUAUGCAUGCAACAAUGAAACUUAUAGGAAUUGAGGAGGGAUUGCCAAAGCUGUGAACCUGGCAGAGUGCUUUCCCCGUUGAUGUCCUCUCCAGUCUUUAUGGAUUUCUCUGUUCCACUGGAAAUUUCCUCCACUCCUACUGCACUUCAGAUUGAUCGUAGACUUAAAAAACCAACUAUACACCUUUUAUGUUCAAUCAUUUACCGAUAAUGCUUGCAAGUUGCAUCCUCUGCAUUAGUAUUACAUCUGCUGUGAGCACAGAACUCCUAUUUAGCUUGACCUAGAAUCAUAUGUGACUGUAAUAAUAUUUCUAAGCUGAUUGUUUGAUGA